UGGGCUCCUCCCAAGGGC
rnacentral:misc_RNA from 1 species